GGGCUAAUUCUCGAUAGGUGAAGAACUCUGGAAUGAGUCUUUGCCAAAAAGAUGCUAGAGUUAUGCUCUUUGGCAUCGCCCAAGGACGAGGCCGCGACCGAUCAGGUUGUUGGUGAGGUAAUGGCUCACCAAGCCUUUUACCGGUGCGGGCCGUGAGAGCGGGAGCCCGGAGAUGGGCACUGAGACAAGGGCCCAGGCCCUACGGGGCGCAGCAGUCGCGAAAACUUUGCAAUACACGAAAGUGUGACAGGGCUAUCCCGAGUGCCAUCCGCUGAGGAAGGCUUUUACCCAGUCUAGAACGCUGGGGGAAUAAGGAGAGGGCAAGUCUGGUGUCAGCCGCCGCGGUAAUACCAGCUCUCCAAGUGGUGUGGAUGUUUAUUGGGCCUAAAGCAUCCGUAGCUGGCUAAGUUAGUCCCUUGUUAAAUCCACCGAAUUAAUCGUUGGAUUGCGGGGGAUACUGCUUGGCUAGGGGACGAGAGAGGCAGACGGUAUUUCCGGGGUAGGGGUGAAAUCCUAUAAUCCCGGGAAGACCACCAGUGGCGAAGGCUGUCUGCUAGAACGCGCCCGACGGUGAGGGAUGAAAGCUGGGGGAGCGAACCGGAUUAGAUACCCGGGUAGUCCCAGCUGUAAACGAUGCAGGCUAGGUGUUUGGACGGCCACGUGCCGUUCUAGUGCCGCAGGGAAGC
rnacentral:rRNA from 1 species